GUGCCAGCAGCCGCGGUAAUACGAAGGGGGCUAGCGUUACUCGGAAUUACUGGGCGUAAAGGGCGCGUAGGCGGCGAGAUAAGUCAGGCGUGAAAUUCCCGGGCUCAACCUGGGGACUGCGCUUGAGACUGUUUUGCUAGAGGAUGGAAGAGGGUCGUGGAAUUCCCAGUGUAGAGGUGAAAUUCGUAGAUAUUGGGAAGAACACCGGUGGCGAAGGCGGCGACCUGGUCCAUUACUGACGCUGAGGCGCGACAGCGUGGGGAGCAAACAGGAUUAGAUACCCGAGUAGUCC
rnacentral:rRNA from 1 species